rnacentral:lncRNA from 1 species
UCUGAUGGAGUGAAUCCCUCCUCAAGUCUGAAUGCGAGCGACGCUCGAUUAUUGCUAUCGGGGAUUCAAUUGUCUGGUCACUUGCGAUUCUGGGUGUCGCGGUACCAGCCGAUUAAUUUGCCACCCCCGGGGUUCCAGGCCAUCCCGAGGGUCUACUUCAAGCACUUCUCCGAGUUACCAAUUCCGGAGAUCAUUAGCGAAGUGCUUUUGACGUUCGAGGUUUCAUUGUCGCAGCUCCCGGCGGGAUUCUUUGUGAUCCUGCGGGGUUUUAUGAACAUCUGUUGGGGGCUGAACAUUGCUGCGAUGGCGAGCUUGUUCUUGUACUUCUACAAGCUCACUAAAGAGAAGUCUGGAUCCGGUCGUUUUGGGUUCACACGACGACAUUUCGACAAGAACAUCGUCGAUGAGCUCCCGACGAACUUCGGAUCCAAUUGGAGAAGAGAGUUUAUAUUUAUCACCUCU